UACGUAGGGGGCAAGCGUUGUCCGGAUUUACUGGGCGUAAAGAGCGUGUAGGCGGCCACGCAGGUCCGUUGUGAAAACUGGAGGCUCAACCUCCAGCUGUCGACGGAAACCGUAUGGCUAGAGUCCGGAAGAGGAGAGUGGAAUUCCUGGUGUAGCGGUGAAAUGCGCAGAUAUCAGGAAGAACACCAAUGGCGAAGGCAGCUCGCUGGGACGUGACUGACGCUGGAGACGCGAAAGCGUGGGGAGCAAACAGG
rnacentral:rRNA from 1 species